GGCUUCGUAGUUCAAGUGGUUAGAGUGCUAGCUGUACUAAAGCCAUCCCUUUGCUGUCGUGGGUUCGAAUCCCACUGGGGCCA
rnacentral:tRNA from 1 species